rnacentral:piRNA from 1 species
UCUGAAUACAUCAAGCAGUUAUCCAU